GAUGAACGCUGGCGGUGUGCCUAAUACAUGCAAGUCGUACGCAUUCUCGUUUCUGAUUGACGGUGCUUGCACCUAAUUGACGAGACAUUGGAAUGAGUGGCGGACGGGUGAGUAACACGUGGGUAACCUGCCCAGAAGUGGGGGAUAACAUUUGGAAACAGAUGCUAAUACCGCAUAAAAGUCAAAACCACAUGGUUUUGAUUUAAAAGAUGGCCUUUGUGCUAUCACUUAUGGAUGGACCCGCGGCGUAUUAGCUAGUUGGUAAGGUAACGGCUUACCAAGGCAAUGAUACGUAGCCGAACUGAGAGGUUGAUCGGCCACAAUGGGACUGAGACACGGCCCAUACUCCUACGUGAGGCAGCAGUAGGGAAUCUUCCACAAUGGGCGCAAGCCUGAUGGAGCAACACCGCGUGAGUGAAGAAGGGUUUCGGCUCGUAAAACUCUGUUGUUAAAGAAGAACGUAUCUAAGAGUAACUGCUUAGGUAGUGACGGUAUUUAACCAGAAAGCCACGGCUAACUACGUGCCAGCCGCCGCCGUAA
rnacentral:rRNA from 1 species